CAACCAGUUCAUUGUUCUUUCCCAUAAGUCCACAGUGACAGGGCAGUUCAUUAACAAGUGAUCUCUUGUUUUUGGGUGGGUUUGGCACAAGGUGCAUUAUUGAUCAAUACUCAUUCCCCAGCUGUGUAAUAUGUCCUUUAUUGGGAGUCUAUCCUGUAGGAAUAGCCAUAGGUUGAAAGUUGCUUUUGGCCUUGCUUGGUUCUAUAUGAUUAAAUUCUUCCAUGGGACUCUCGGCACUGCUUGCAUCUAUGACUGGUACAACUGUCUGGUCGAGUACUUUUGUUCCUUCCAAUUCUGGAUCCUUUGUAGAAUAUCUCUGGAUUGGAUGAUCUUUCUCACCAUCCAACUUGCUUGAGCAGGAAUUGGACUGGAUUUUAUUGGUCUGUCUUUGAUGUAAUAUACAGUGAUCCACCUAAUCCACAGCUUGUCCUUUUUAUGAGCUAGGUCCCAGCAGGUCUUUGUAAUUGCAGCUUUGUUCCAGAGCUUUAGGUUAGUGAGGUUCAUCCCAC
rnacentral:lncRNA from 1 species